rnacentral:lncRNA from 1 species
AAAUUGAUUUGGCUUGGUGGGUAAUGAUGUCGGAAAUGGUAGGCUAUCAAACAAAAUAGAAUUGGUUAAGUGUGGCUAUAUAGAUAUGGUCCUUCGGGCAACAAGCAAUGCUUUUACAAACCCAAAAUGAAUUUCAAUCACUCUUUUUUUUUUCAAUUUUGAUUUUUUUUCUUCUUUUUUUAAUUCCAAAUUUUUUUCUUAUUUUUUUCUUCAAUACUAAAUACAAAAAGUACAAAUAAAUUGAAUACAUACUU